AUACGGAGGGUGCAAGCGUUACUCGGAAUCACUGGGCGUAAAGCGCGCGCAGGCGGCUAUUUAAGUUGGAUGUGAAAGCCUACGGCUCAACCGUAGAACUGCAUCCAAAACUAUUUAGCUAGAGUGUGGGAGAGGAAGAUGGAAUUAGUUGUGUAGGGGUAAAAUCCGUAGAGAUAACUAGGAAUACCAAAAGCGAAGGCAAUUUUCUGGAACACUACUGACGCUGAGGCGCGAAAGCGUGGGGGCAAACAGGAUUAGAAACCCUAGUAGUCC
rnacentral:rRNA from 1 species